AUUGAACGCUGGCGGCAUGCCUUACACAUGCAAGUCGAACGGUAACAGGUCAAGCUGACGAGUGGCGAACGGGUGAGUAAUAUAUCGGAACGUGCCCAGUAGUGGGGAUAGCCCGGCGAAGCCGGAUUAAUACCGCAUACGACCUACGGGUGAAAGCGGGGAUCGCAAGACCUCGCGCUAUUGGAGCGGCCGAUAUCAGAUUAGCUAGUUGGUGGGGUAAAAGCUCACCAAGGCGACGAUCUGUAGCUGGUCUGAGAGGACGACCAGCCACACUGGGACUGAGACACGGCCCAGACUCCUACGGGAGGCAGCAGUGGGGAAUUUUGGACAAUGGACGCAAGUCUGAUCCAGCCAUGCCGCGUGCGGGAAGAAGGCCU
rnacentral:rRNA from 1 species